UACGUAGGGAGCAAGCGUUGUCCGGAAUCAUUGGGCGUAAAGCGCGCGUAGGCGGCCCUGUAAGUCCGUUGUGAAAGUCAAAGGCUCAACCUUUGAAAGCCGAUGGAUACUGCAGGGCUAGAGUCCGGAAGAGGCGAAGUGGAAUUCCUGGUGUAGCGGUGGAAUGCGCAGAUAUCAGGAGGAACACCAAUAGCGAAGGCAGCUCGCUGGGACGGUACUGACGCUAAGGCGCGAAAGCGUGGGGAGCGAACAGGA
rnacentral:rRNA from 1 species